UAUUAUUAUGACCUAACCCCAAACUCAAAUAUCUCUUAACCUACAAAACAUCUCAAGAUCAUCUAGAGCUCUUCUUUAGCUGUUUACGAAGCAGAGGAGGUUUUAAUAAUAACCCUUCUGCCUAUCAAUUACGAUCAGCUAUAAGAGGCGUUAUGAUAGCAAAGAUGGGAGCCUUAUGCACAGAUGUUCCAGAUAUCCAAAAAUUAUCGCCAUUCGUUGAUAACAUCGCAACUUAUAUAUCAGGAUAUAUAACACGUAAACUUAUAUUCGAAGAUAAAGUAAAGUGUUAUAUAUGUAUUUCUGCAAUGAUUGUUAAAAAUUGUAAAGAUCAAGAGAGCUAUAAUUAAAAACAAUCAGGGAUUAAUAAUUCCUUCCAGAGAUGUAUCUAGA